UACGUAGGGUGCGAGCGUUAAUCGGAAUUACUGGGCGUAAAGCGUGCGCAGGCGGUUUUGUAAGAUAGAUGUGAAAUCCCCGGGCUCAACCUGGGAAUUGCAUUUAUGACUGCAAAGCUAGAGUACGGUAGAGGGGGGUAGAAUUCCGCGUGUAGCAGUGAAAUGCGUAGAUAUGCGGAGGAACACCGAUGGCGAAGGCAGCCCCCUGGACCUGUACUGACGCUCAUGCACGAAAGCGUGGGGAGCAAACAGG
rnacentral:rRNA from 1 species